CUGAAGAUAAAUCAGGUGAGGCCCCAUCCAGCCCGCUCCUCCACAGGCAGCUCCUAUUAGAGCAUCUUUAUUUCCCCACCUGAAGCCCUCUCGCCCUUCCAAGAGACAGGAGUCAGAUGAGAUUGAUGGAAAUGCUUCAAAGAUUUCACCAGAAAGCAUAAUGGCUUGGUUUUAAAUACAUCUUAUAAAAAACAAAAACAGACAACAACAACAACAACAAACUGAGGUCUGGAUGAUGGGAUGAGCCAGCCACACCAAAAGGCAGGGGAAGAGCAUUUCAUUUAGCAGUAAGUCAAGAAAGAAAAGGGCGACCAGUGUGAAGCCUUGGUGACUGUGGGGCAGGGUGGAUG
rnacentral:lncRNA from 1 species